AAGAAAGGCAGCUCGCAAGGGUUGCGCUGUUAGAUGAGUCCGCGGUCCAUCAGGUAGUUGGUGAGGUAACGGCUCACCAAGCNUAAGACGGAUAGCUGGUCUGAGAGGAUGAUCAGCCACACUGGAACUGAGACACGGUCCAGACUCCUACGGGAGGCAGCAGUGGGGAAUUUUGGACAAUGGGCGAAAGCCUGAUCCAGCAACGCCGCGUGGGUGAUGAAGGCCUUCGGGUUGUAAAGCCCUGUCGGGAGGGACGAAACCCCAGAUUAACAACCUGGGCUGACGGUACCUCCAAAGGAAGCACCGGCUAACUCUGUGCCAGCAGCCGCGGUAAUACAGAGGGUGCAAGCGUUGUUCGGAAUUACUGGGCGUAAAGCGCGUGUAGGCGGCGUGCCAAGUCUUGUGUGAAAGCCCCAGGCUCAACCUGGGAAGUGCGCAAGAUACUGGUGUGCUGGAGUGUUGGAGAGGAUGGCGGAAUUCCCGGUGUAGAGGUGAAAUUCGUAGAUAUCGGGAGGAACACCUGUGGCGAAGGCGGCCAUCUGGACAAUCACUGACGCUGAGACGCGAAAGCAUGGGGAGCAAACAGGAUUAGAUACCCUGGUAGUCCAUGCUGUAAACGAUGGAUGCUAGAUGUCGCGGGUAUUGACCCCUGCGGUGUCGACGCUAACGCAU
rnacentral:rRNA from 1 species